UGGGGAAUAUUGGACAAUGGGGGAAACCCUGAUCCAGCAAUGCCGCGUGAGUGAUGAAGGCCUUCGGGUUGUAAAGCUCUUUUCUUGGGGACGAUAAUGACGGUACCCAAGGAAUAAGCCCCGGCUAACUUCGUGCCAGCAGCCGCGGUAAUACGAAGGGGGCAAGCGUUGUUCGGAAUAACUGGGCGUAAAGAGCACGUAGGCGGUGAGAUACGUUGGAUGUGAAAGACCUGGGCUUAACCUAGGAACAGCAUUCAAAACGGUUUGACUAGAGAUCGAGAGGGGAAAAGGGAAUUGUGCGUGUAGAGGUGAAAUUCGUAGAUAUGCACAGGAACACCGGUGGCGAAGGCGCUUUUCUGGCUCGAAACUGACGCUGAGGUGCGAAAGCGUGGGGAGCAAA
rnacentral:rRNA from 1 species